CAAGUGUGAGGUGCUGGACCAAGUCCCUUGAGGAGAGCAGAGCCAGGAGGACUCCGGAGUCCUUAAUUCCCCUCAGCACUGUUUGAGGUGAGCAACUACAACUACACAAGACAAAGACGAAAGACUUUUUCAGCUCAAAAAUCCUGUGAUUCUUUGAUUCUAAGAAGAGAUUUUCUGACAAGGAGUUUGCCUAAGAGUCCACCCGGCUUGUGUCUCCUGCCAGUUGCCGGCCUGCCGGCAUGUGGGCUGCCUGUGGAGAAGGGCCUGUGUUGUGAAUGAUGUCUGCAGGGCAUGGGGUUGACUUUGAAGAAGGUGUGAUCCUAAGUUGUGUUUGACCUGAGCUCCUGUCACCCCUGAAGGCAGCAGAGGAUGUCCUGUCGGUGACCCAGGAGGACGGCUUCCUGAGCCCAUUGCACAGAA
rnacentral:lncRNA from 1 species